GUCAAAGCUUCAUUUAUAAACUAUGCCCUUCUGAACUGGCAUAAAAAAAAAUUGGAAAAUACAAUUUUCCGUGUUAUUUCUUGAACAAAUGGAACAGGAAAAUACGUAAACGUUAUCAAUUUGGCUCCCUGCUUCGUCUAAUUUACAUUAUGAUAGAUAUCUGAACAUAAAGCGAGUUUUCUCAUAUGAUUCAAAGAAAAUCAGGCUGGCCUGUGGAUGUCAAGCAACGAUGCCACAUACGGCUGUUAGGGUCGACAACCCUGGGUUUAGAGAUGACUUCUGGAAUUGGAAAGUAGACAUAAUGAGUAUUGCAUAUACCCACUGUGAUACCACUAUAUCCAGCAAAUGCACCAUGAACAGCAUUUUGCCCAAGUACGGUGCACAGAAUACCAUCUGAAGC
rnacentral:misc_RNA from 1 species